GUCCUACGGGGGGCAGCAGUGGGGAAUAUUGCACAAUGGGGGAAACCCUGAUGCAGCGACGCCGCGUGAGCGAAGAAGUAUUUCGGUAUGUAAAGCUCUAUCAGCAGGGAAGAAAAUGACGGUACCUGACUAAGAAGCCCCGGCUAAAUACGUGCCAGCAGCCGCGGUAAUACGGAGGAUGCGAGCGUUAUCCGGAUUUAUUGGGUUUAAAGGGUGCGCAGGCGGAGGCACAAGUCAGCGGUAAAAUCGCGGGGCUCAACCCCGCUCCGCCGUUGAAACUGUGUCCCUUGAGUGCGCGAAGGGUA
rnacentral:rRNA from 1 species